CACGGGUUGUCGUUUGAUUGUGUGGUACGUGUAUGUUUAGAUAUGCAGUUCAGUCCAGUUGGUAUAUGACAUUAAUUGCUAAGCUUCAGAAAAAAUGAGUAACGUGCAAUCUGUCAUUGAAGACUUUCUGGUGUUUAUUUGUGGGCUGUUAUAAAGCCAAAAUUUUGCUCUUAUCCAAUACCUUUAUUUUCAAGUGAACAGUAACGCCC
rnacentral:lncRNA from 1 species